rnacentral:pre_miRNA from 1 species
UUAGUACUCCCUCCGUCCGAAAAUACUUGUCAUAGAAAUGUAUGAAUCUAGACUUAUUUUAGUUAUAGAUAUAUCCAUUAUUUUUAUUUUUAGGAUAAGUAUUUCCGGACGGAGGUAGUACAAC